rnacentral:rRNA from 1 species
UACGUAGGGUGCGAGCGUUAAUCGGAAUUACUGGGCGUAAAGCGUGCGCAGGCGGUUUUGCAAGCCGGAUGUGAAAUCCCCGGGCUCAACCUGGGAAUGGCAUUCGGGACUGCAAGGCUGGAGUGCGGCAGAGGAGACUGGAAUUCCUGGUGUAGCAGUGAAAUGCGUAGAUAUCAGGAGGAAUACCGAUGGCGAAGGCAGGUCUCUGGGCUGACACUGACGCUCAUGCACGAAAGCGUGGGGAUCAAACAGG